UACGGGGGGGGCAAGCGCUGUUCGGAAUUACUGGGCGUAAAGGGUUCGUAGGUGGCCAACUAAGUCAGACGUGAAAUCCCUCAGCUUAACUGGGGAACUGCGUCUGAGACUGGAUGGCUCGAGUGCAGGAGAGGAACGCGGAAUUCCAGGUGUAGCGGUGAAAUGCGUAGAUAUCUGGAGGAACACCGGUGGCGAAGGCGGCGUUCUGGACUGCAACUGACACUGAGGAACGAAAGCCAGGGGAGCAAACGGG
rnacentral:rRNA from 1 species